UUAAUUUCAUAGAAAGUAAGCACAGUUAAGCAUGUUAACCUCUUCUUUUUCUUAGAUGCAUCUUACAUCACUACAAAAAUGUGAUAUGGUGUCCGUGUUGCUCUGUUCUUUCAUUCUCUGUCAAUUUUGGUAUAUUGCAAAGCUACUAAUUCUUUGGCGUAGCUCCUGAGAUGAGACUUUUGUUCUUUAGUUUCUUAAUAUGUUUGGGAGCAACCAGCUCUGAUGCCUCAUUUAUCUUUCACGUCAUCCUAUGUUAUGGUGGUUAAACCUGUAGUUGAUCAGUUUGACAGUCAAUGUAAAAUGCUACAUUGCAGGGGUGGAGCCAACCUGAUGAUAGAGCCUAAGUAAAAAUAAAUAAAGUCUGACUGACGUUUGCCCAUGGAAAUAGAGGAUUAGUUCGUUUCCCUUCAAGAAUCAAUAGUUGCAAUACCUUGUAGAAUAAUGAAGAAAUUAUGAUGUGUACGGAUUAGUGAAAGGCAAUGGAACCUGUGAUGGCUUGCUGAGAGCAGGAGAAAAGCAUUUAUAGAGCCCCUUACAGGUGGCUGUAUGAUUAUACUUUUGCUUGGAUACUAUAUGAAGAAACUUAAAAAUGCGUUGAGAAAAUCCUCUUGACCCACUAAAUAUCCAAGGGUUCCUUAUUUCAAGUCCAUGGCUACUGAUCUGGUGAAACUGAUAUUGGUAGCAAGUUGAACUGUACCUCAUGGAUGACAAGAUAUAGUUAUGUCGCUUCAGGUUGUAGGAUAAGGUCAUUUGCCCAUUUCACUUCCAAACUAAAAACGUUGAAUAUAAUUUAAUUGGUUCAUUCCUGAGUAUGUGCUUUCUUCCCAUCUGUUAUUAGAUUGUACGCCUUUUAAUUUGAAUCCUCUUUGAUGUGUGCAUACAUGAAAUAUUUUCAAUCGCUUCGUACUUCUGAAAGCAGGUCCCCUCUUGAUGUAUUGCCGUGGGACUAAUCAAGGACCUGAUCGAGGGUGGC